rnacentral:rRNA from 1 species
UUCCGGUUGAUCCUGCCGGACCCGACUGCUAUUUGGGUGAGGAUAAGCCAUGCGAGUUGAAUGGGAUACCUAAAGUUCCCAUGGCAAACUGCUCAGUAACACAUGAUCAACUUGCCCUAUAGAGAAAAAUAACCUCGGGAAACUGAGGAUAAUGUUUCAUAGCUGAAUUGGCUUGGAAAAGUUUUUCAGUUAAAGGGAUAAAAAAAAUGGUUUUUAUCCGCUAUAGGAUAGGAUCGUGGUCGAUUAUGGUUGUUGGUGAGGUAAUGGCUCACCAAGCCGAUAAUCGAUAGGGGCCGUGGGAGCGGGAGCCCCGAGAUGGGUACUGAGACAACGACCCAGGCCUUACGAGGCGCAGCAGGCGCGAAACCUCCGCAAUACACGAAAGUGUGACGGGGUUACCCAAAGUGUUCAAUUUUGAACUGUGGUAGGUGAGUAAUGUUCCCUACUAGAAAGGAGAGGGCAAGGCUGGUGCCAGCCGCCGCGGUAAAACCAGCUCUUCAAGUGGUCGGGAUAAUUAUUGGGCUUAAAGUGUCCGUAGCCGGUUUAGUAAGUUCCUGGUAAAAUCGGGUAGCUUAACUAUCUAUAUGCUAGGAAUACUACUAUACUAGAGGGCGGGAGAGGUCUGAGGU